AAGAGGAUCACAGGGAGGUGAGCAGCACUUGUCAGAUGCCCAGAAGACUCUCACCAAGGCCCACCAAAGCCUGCCAGAUGAAAUCCAACAACAGGGCCGUCCGGGAUAAGAAGCAGGGCUGCUUCUCCACCCCUGCACUGCUUAGAGCCUGCGUCCAAGGAACAAACUGUCAUGGGAAGUUCCCACCCCUGCCCCGCCAAGAAGGCAAGUGCAGCAGUGGCUGCCAGCCCAGCAGCCAGUGCCCAGUGCCCAUCUGUCUCAACUCUUCUCCGGCUGGCAGGUGGCCUCCUCAGACCAAGGCACUAAGGACAGUGCAAGCCAGAGCAGCACUCAGAGAACAAAGGCACAGUACAGGAGGAGUCUACAACCUAGCAAUCUAA
rnacentral:lncRNA from 1 species